UACGUAGGCAGCGAGCGUUGUUCGGAGUUACUGGGCGUAAAGAGUGCGUAGGCGGUUUUCUAAGUUUGGUGUGAAAUCUCCCGGCUUAACUGGGAGGGUGCGCCGAAAACUGGAAGGCUUGAGUAUGGGAGAGGUAAGCGGAAUUCCUGGUGUAGCGGUGAAAUGCGUAGAUAUCAGGAGGAACACCAGUGGCGAAAGCGGCUACCUGGCCCAUUCUUGACGCUGAGGCGCGAAAGCUAGGGGAGCAAACGGG
rnacentral:rRNA from 1 species